GCAGUGAAAUACUACAAAAGCUAUCAUGGA
rnacentral:piRNA from 1 species